UUAAUUGAAACCAAAAAGAGGUAUGUUACUGUUAAUGACAUUAUUGAAUUAAUAUUCCAAUUAAA
rnacentral:tRNA from 1 species